rnacentral:rRNA from 1 species
AGAGUUUGAUCCUGGCUCAGGAUGAACGCUAGCGACAGGCUUAACACAUGCAAGUCGAGGGGCAGCGGGGUAGGAAGCUUGCUUUCUGCCGCCGGCGACCGGCGCACGGGUGAGUAACACGUAUGCAACCUGGCCGUGACAGAUGGAUAACCGGGAGAAAUCCCGCCUAAUACAACAUAAUGCCGGGAGGGGACAUCCCCUGCCGGCCAAAGGGGGCGACCCCGGUCACGGAUGGGCAUGCGGCGCAUUAGGUAGUUGGUGGGGCAACGGCCCACCAAGCCGACGAUGCGUAGGGGUUCUGAGAGGAAGGUCCCCCACAUUGGAACUGAGACACGGUCCAAACUCCUACGGGAGGCAGCAGUGGGGAAUAUUGGUCAAUGGCCGGAAGGCUGAACCAGCCAAGUCGCGUGAGGGAAUAAGGCCCUACGGGUCGUAAACCUCUUUUGCCAGGGAGCAAUGCCGUCCACGUGUGGACGGAAGGAGAGUACCUGGAGAAAAAGCAUCGGCUAACUCCGUGCCAGCAGCCGCGGUAAUACGGAGGAUGCGAGCGUUAUCCGGAUUUAUUGGGUUUAAAGGGUGCGUAGGCGGCCUGCCAAGUCAGCGGUAAAAUUGCGGGGCUCAACCCCGUACAGCCGUUGAAACUGCCGGGCUCGAGUGGGCGAGAAGUAUGCGGAAUGCGUGGUGUAGCGGUGAAAUGCAUAGAUAUCACGCAGAACCCCGAUUGCGAAGGCAGCAUACCGGCGCCCGACUGACGCUGAGGCACGAAAGUGCGGGGAUCAAACAGGAUUAGAUACCCUGGUAGUCCGCACAGUAAACGAUGAAUGCUAGCUGUCCGGGGGGAUUGACCCCUGGGUGGCACAGCGAAAGCGUUAAGCAUUCCACCUGGGGAGUACGCCGGCAACGGUGAAACUCAAAGGAAUUGACGGGGGCCCGCACAAGCGGAGGAACAUGUGGUUUAAUUCGAUGAUACGCGAGGAACCUUACCCGGGCUCAAACGGGAGAUGACGCGGGCAGAGACGCCCGUUUCUUAGGACAUCUUCCGAGGUGCUGCAUGGUUGUCGUCAGCUCGUGCCGUGAGGUGUCGGCUUAAGUGCCAUAACGAGCGCAACCCCUGCCGACAGUUGCUAACGCGUUGAGGCGAGGACUCUGUCGGGACUGCCGGCGCAAGCCGCGAGGAAGGCGGGGAUGACGUCAAAUCAGCACGGCCCUUACGUCCGGGGCGACACACGUGUUACAAUGGGGGGUACAGCGGGAAGCCAGGCGGCGACGCCGAGCGGAACCCGAAAGCCUCUCUCAGUUCGGAUCGGAGUCUGCAACCCGACUCCGUGAAGCUGGAUUCGCUAGUAAUCGCGCAUCAGCCAUGGCGCGGUGAAUACGUUCCCGGGCCUUGUACACACCGCCCGUCA